rnacentral:rRNA from 1 species
AGUUUGAUCCUGGCUCAGGAUGAACGCUGGCGGUAUGCUUAACACAUGCAAGUCGAACGAUGUGGGGACGUAGCAAUGCUACGUCUGUGCAUAGUGGCGGACGGGUGAGUAACGCGUGAGAAUCUAGCUUCAGGUUCGGGACAACAUCGGGAAACCGAUGCUAAUACCGGAUGUGCCGAGAGGUGAAAGGCUAGCCGCCUGAAGAAGAGCUCGCGUCUGAUUAGCUAGUUGGUGGUGUAAGGGACUACCAAGGCGACGAUCAGUAGCUGGUCUGAGAGGAUGAUCAGCCACACUGGAACUGAGACACGGUCCAGACUCCUACGGGAGGCAGCAGUGGGGAAUUUUCCCGCAAUGGGCGAAAGCUGACCGGAGCAAUACCGCGUGAGGGAGGAAGGCUCUUUGGGUUGUAAACCUCUUUUCUCAAGGAAGAAGUUCUGACGGUACUUGAGGAAUCAGCAUCGGCUAACUCCGUGCCAGCAGCCGCGGUAAUACGGAGGAUGCAAGCGUUAUCCGGGAUGAUUGGGCGUAAACGUCCGC